rnacentral:rRNA from 1 species
UACGUAGGUGGCAAGCGUUAUCCGGAUUUACUGGGUGUAAAGGGCGUGUAGGCGGGACUGCAAGUCAGAUGCGAAAACCACGGGCUCAACCUGUGGCCUGCAUUUGAAACUGUAGUUCUUGAGUACUGGAGAGGCAGACGGAAUUCCUAGUGUAGCGGUGAAAUGCGUAGAUAUUAGGAGGAACACCAGUGGCGAAGGCGGUCUGCUGGACAGCAACUGACGCUGAGGCGCGAAAGCGUGGGGAGCAAACAGG